UACGGGGGGAGCAAGCGUUGUUCGGAUUUACUGGGCGUAAAGGGCGCGUAGGCGGCCACCGCAAGUCGACUGUGAAAUCUCCGGGCUUAACCCGGAAAGGUCAGCCGAUACUGCGGGGCUAGAGUGCAGAAGGGGCAACUGGAAUUCUCGGUGUAGCGGUGAAAUGCGUAGAUAUCGAGAGGAACACCGGUGGCGAAGGCGGCUUCCUGGACCGACACUGACGCUGAGGCGCGAAAGCUAGGGGAGCAAACGGG
rnacentral:rRNA from 1 species